UUAAGGCCACAAAUGUAUUUAUUUUGUGAAUGUCUAAAUUCUUUAUUAUUUACAUAUGCAAAACCAGAGGGAAAAUAUACAAAGUAUAUGAAAUUAAAUAACCAGGUGUCAUUUUUUUUCUUCCAAAAAGCUGAUAUUAAAUUUUUUUAAGCAUUCCAUAUAAUCAGUGCAGUGUUGAUGAUGACAUUUUCUCUGUUUUGUACUCAAAGUGAUUUGCCCUGAAGCAAAUGAUCAUCUCUAUAGAUAUCACCUGACCUGUGUAUUUUUUAAAGAUUGUAUUGUAUGUGCUUUGGUUUUUAUCAUCCCAUUUAACAGUGGACAUACCUCUAGCUGGAGUGAACAACAGACCAUCUGACGCACUCUAGCUCAAGACCUGAAGACAAACUUUGCAGAGCAUCAGUCUUAUGUCAAUCAGAGUUCUCUGUGUCUGCAUUGACAAUCUGAACGUUGUACAGUACAAAUGCGAUGCCAAGUUAUGACAAUCGAUGCUCUCUAGGGUUACAAAGAGGACCAAAACUGUCUUUAGUGUUGAUAAUUGACUGCAUUGACAUCUGUGGGUGGGGGUGAUUGGAUUGUCUUGCUUACAGACGCUUACGUUGUAUGUACAACGCAAGUAUGUUCUGGCCAACAUUUUCCUUGUAAGCACUGUUGUAUGUGAGAUGUUGGGGUAUGUCCACUCUGUCUGUCUGAUCAUUGUGCUUGAUUGUUUUCCUUUGCCUUGGGUUUUCCAUGGCUUCCUCCUAUGCUGAAACUAGAUAGUUUAAAGAAAGAAAAUAUAAUAAUAAAACCAAUUUUGCUUCAAUUUCACUUCAGUGUUUAUUCAAUAUAGUACACUGGAAUCCAAACUGAUCUCUACUUUCAACAUCAGCCCGGGACUCAGUAUUUUUAAAGCAGGCUAUCAAUAUGACAUCCUGGCAUCCAAACUGGUUUAAAGUAUAUCUUCCUUCACUGUCCCUGUACCAGGCUCAAACGAGUGAUCCUUUGCUCACAAGCGACCAUCCUCGUUGAUAACGUUCCAACCGUUUGAGCUAUAUAGAAGGUACCAAUUGGAUAGCUCCAUCGGCUACAUUUCAAGGUUGCUGUGGAAUGAGCUUAUGGCACAUUCUUAACACUACCCCAAACACUCUCCCAGUUUUCGCCCAUCAACAUCUUGCUUAAAGGGAGCUCUGAUGAGGGAUUGGGUGUGUCUAGCCAUAUGUCUUUCGCUCUUCCACGUCUGUUGCUGUAAAAACAAUAGAAAAACAUGUGUCUGCUAGUCUACUGCAGCAAAUUUCCACACGACAUGUAGACACAAUAAGCUGUUCUUUGGUGCAACUAAUGGCUAUGAAUCGUGCUUGGAACCAAUUGGUACCUUCUGAAAGUAUGACGGCGCUGACGGAGAGAGUCGCGUUAGAUCUAGUCCUUAGGAAACUAUGCAGUAUUUCGUUUUUUUAAUGUAUUUUUCCUUACAUCGUUAGCCUAGAAAAUCACAAGUGUUAUUUCAUACAGCCGGGAAGAACUAUUGGAUAUCAGAGCGAUGUCAACUUACUAGCACUAUGACCAGGAAUACGACUUUCCCGAAGUGGAUCAUUUGUUCGAACCACCCAAGGCAUUCAAACUGAUUCCAGAGCCUGACCCAAAACAACAUCGCCACAGAAGAGGUAGACGGAGUGGCCUUCUGGUCAGACUUCGGAGGCACACCAUCCACCGCUUCCGAGUAUAUUACUCUCUAAGGUCCAGUCUCUAGAUAACAAGGUAGAUUAAAUUAGGGCAAAGGUCGCUUUUCAGAGAGACAUCAGGAAUUGCAACAUACUCUGUUUCACAGAAACAUGUCUCUCUGGGGAUUUUUAUUUUAUUUUUUUAUUUUACCUUUAUUUAACUAGGCAAGUCAGUUAAGAACACAUUCUUAUUUUCAAUGACAGCCUAGGAACAGUGGGUUAACUGCCUGUUCAGGGGCAGAACGACGGUUACUAGUCCAACGCUCUAACCACUAGGCUACCCUGCCGCUACCCUGCUGCUGUUGGUCCAGCGCCGACAGGAAUAAACAUUUCCCUUGGGAAGAAGAAGGGUGGGGGUGUAUGUUUUAUGAUUAACUACUCAUGGUGUAAUUGUAACAAUAUACAGGAACUCAAGUCCUUCUGUUCACCUGAUCUAGAAUUCCUCACAAUCAAAUGCCGACCGUAUUAUCUCCCAAGAUAAUUACCGUUGGUUAUUGUCACAGCUGUGUACAGUGGGGCAAAAAAGUUUUUAGUCAGCCACCAAUUGUGCAAGUUCUCCCACUUAAAAAGAUGAGAGAGGCCUGUAAUUUUCAUCAUGGGUACACUUCAACUAUGACAGACAAAAUGAGAGAAAAAAAAUCCAGAAAAUCACAUUGUAGGAUUUCUAAUUAAGUUAUUUGCAAAUUAUGGUGGAAAAUAAACUUUUGUUAUUGACCAAAUACUUAUCUCAAUACUUUGUUAUAUACCCUUUGUUCACAAGGUUUUCACACACUGUUGCUGGUAUUUUGGCCCAUUCCUCCAUGCAGAUCUCCUCUAGAGCAGUCAUGUUUUGGGGCUGUUGCUGGGCAACACGGACUUUCAACUCUCUCCAAAGAUUUUCUAUGGGGUUGAGAUCUGGAGAACUUGAAAUUCUUCUUACGAAGCCACUCCUUGGUUUUUGUAUUUGGGAUCAUUGUCAUGCUGAAAGACAAAGCCACGUUUCAUCUUCAAUGCCCUUGCUGAUGGUAGGCUUUGUUACUUUGGUCCCAGCUCUCUGCAGGUCAUUCACUAGGUCCCCCCAUGUGGUUCUGGGAUAUUUGCUCACCGUUCUUGUGAUAAUUUUGACCCCACCGGGUGAGAUCUUGCGUGGAGCCCCAGAUCGAGGGAAAUUAUCAGUGUCUCAGAGGUCCGUUAAAAGCGCAGAGAGCAUCAUGAAGAACAAGGAACACACCAGGCAGGUCCGAGAUACUGUUGUGAAGAAGUUUAAAGCCGGAUUUGGAUACAAAACGAUUUCCCAAGCUUUAAACAUCCCAAGGAGCACUGUGCAAGCGAUAUAUUGAAAUGGAAGGAGUAUCAGACCACUGCAAAUCUACCAAGACCUGGCCGUCCCUCUAAACUUUCAGCUCAUACAAGGAAAAGACUGAUCAGAGAUGCAGCCAAGAGGCCCAUGAUCACUCUGGAUGAACUGCAGAGAUCUACAGCUGAGGUGGGAGACUCUGUCCAUAGGACAACAAUCAGUCGUAUAUUGCACAAAUCUGGCCUUUAUGGAAGACUGGCAAGAAGAAAGCCAUUUCUUAAAGAUAUCCAUAAAAAGUGUAGUUUAAAGUUUGCCACAAGCCACCUGGGAGACACACCAAACAUGUGGAAGAAGGUGC
ensembl:lncRNA